AUUGAACGCUGGCGGCAGGCCUAACACAUGCAAGUCGAACGGUAACAGGAAGCAGCUUGCUGCUUUGCUCACGAGUGGCGGACGGGUGAGUAAUGUCUGGGAAACUGCCUGAUGGAGGGGGAUAACUACUGGAAACGGUAGCUAAUACCGCAUAACGUCGCAAGCCCAAAGAGGGGGACCUUAGGGCCUCUUGCCAUCGGAUGUGCCCAGAUGGGAUUAGCUAGUAGGUGGGGUAACGGCUCACCUAGGCGACGAUCCCUAGCUGGUCUGAGAGGAUGACCAGCCACACUGGAACUGAGACACGGUCCAGACUCCUACGGGAGGCAGCAGUGGGGAAUAUUGCACAAUGGGCGCAAGCCUGAUGCAGCCAUGCCGCGUGUAUGAAGAAGGCCUUCGGGUUGUAAAGUACUUUCAGCGGGGAGGAAGGGAGUAAAGUUAAUACCUUUGCUCAUUGACGUUACCCGCAGAAGAAGCACCGGCUAACUCCGUG
rnacentral:rRNA from 1 species